CAUAAAGCCCAGGCCCUACAACUAGGUAAAUAUACACACACGGAUGAAAAGUCACUACAGUAUAAGGGAAGAUAAAUGAGAACAAAACAGGUUGCGCCGUACUGUUACGUAUCCACGAUAAGUGAUCGAGAGGCAGCCCACAAAUGACACAAGAACCUUCCAUCCCCCGAGACUCAUACCCAUUAUAUUUGUACCUAAAAUCAUACCAACUUGUCAGACUCCAUCACUAGAAAAUGUCAAAAUCUUUGUCCAUCUAAUCCCCUCGUAACUUCUGGUACUUGGCGAAAAAAUAUCUUCAAAUUUUCAUCUUUUCCUAUUUCAACCACCUGAUGGCACUUCUGUGACCUCAUUUAUCUUUAAAGCUAAACGCUUUUCUAAAAUCUUGCUACGUAAAAGCUACCCUGGAUGAUUCAUAAAGUUGUGUGUCUCUCCUUCACCCUCCAACCUACUCCAUGUCAAAGAUGAUGGGUGGGAAGAAAACAAGGAAUAUACAAGAUUACUAUAAAAUCCUUGGAAGAAAAGUAACACGGAUGAUAGAACUUCAGGAAGAGGGGAUAAUCAUGGUGCUGCAGGAUUCUGUAGUCCAGCAAACUUGACCGCUAGUGAAAAUAUGUAGAAUACGAAGCUGCUUUGGUCACUGGUUCGAAGUGUUGUGGUGAGCGGCGCCACCUGCAUGAUCCAACACCAGUCGCCCUAGACAGCAGCAGAGCUAAACCAGCGAACCGGAAGGGAGAUAGACAAGCAACAGACACGCAGCAGCGAUUCUACUUCCCCCUCCUCCUUCCACAGCCAGAGAGCGUCGCCGCCACAGAACGCCACACUGCGUGAUGCAGCGUUGGGAAAACUAUGACGCGGGACAGGGAGGGAUAACCCAAUGUCCACCUAAUAUUCAGGUCUACUUAUGCCGUGACGAGAUUUCGGUCCCUUCAGCGCAUCCCGGCUACGUCACGCGGAGUCACGGGCUCGGGGUUAGUGGCGCUGUGGCGGUUACAGUUUACUGGACUCAGUGUGCCUUGGAGAAGCGUGGUGAGAGCAUCUUGCACAAUUUAAUUUCUAACUUCAUUCAACAAUGUUUAUGAUGACUAUUGUUGCUGUUAAUUCAUGUUAGUCAAAAAACAUUACAUAGAAUGACUGGGAGGGUGUUAGUAUAGUGUAAAAUUAGCAAAUGAAAAAAAAUAUAUAUGAAAUAUCACCGCUCCUUUUUUUUUCAUCUUGAACAAAUUAAAUAGAUAAUUUUUCUCU